rnacentral:rRNA from 1 species
GGGUUCACCCAUUGGUCAGGCUUAACUGUCUGCACUGGUGAGAUGAAUCUCUACCUUCUGAGGAACUUUCAUGCCAUUUAUUUGGUGUGAUGGGAAAUCAGGACUAUUACUUUGAAAAAUUAGAGUGUUUAAAGCAGGCUAUUGUCUGAAUACAUUAGCAUGGAAUAAUGAAAUAGGACGGACUGGUUCUAUUUUGUUGGUUUCUAGGAUCACCGUAAUG